rnacentral:rRNA from 1 species
UAAGGGAAUUCUUCGGCAAUGGACGAAAGUCUGACCGAGCAACGCCGCGUGAGUGAAGAAGGUUUCGGAUCGUAAAACUCUGUUGGUAGAGAAGAACGUUGGUGAGAGUGGAAAGCUCAUCAAGUGACGGUAACUACCCAGAAAGGGACGGCUAACUACGUGCCGG